rnacentral:lncRNA from 1 species
AUAAGAUAGAGUUUCGACUAUUUAGUCACAUUUGGAGAAGAGGAUAUUGCGUACAUAGCUCAUAUGCUGCUAUUACGUGAGAUGUAAAUGUUGAAUAUUGUAGCGCGAAAGAAAAAGUCAAAAUCUAGUGUUAUCUCUGGCGAUAGAUGAUGAAUAUGCUUGAAUUAUUAAUAUUAUAGCUGCGCGAUUGUUCAAGAGCCGAUUAGCUUAUUCCCAAUUUGGCAAUUUCACGAAAUACUUCAAAGCAAUAUUGCCGCCUGCUUGUUUGUAAACAUGGUAUUUUCUCCAGAGAUAUUGUCCGUAUCAGUACAUGUAAUAUUUUGCAUAAUUUUGAAAGAAACGGUUUGCAGAUGUACCAGCGUUAGCGCGCUAAUAUACACCUUUGAACAACAAUGCCGACACCUUUCCCGUGAGAAGUUUUCUUUGCUCUUGUGAGUUGUGUACGGCAACACGUUGAGAAUUUUUCCUAGUUGCCAAGGAGCCUUGGCCCUUCGGUUCCAAAGUUAGUCAUGCCAGCUUUUGGACAGGGAAUAUUUGUUCGUGUGUGCGGCUGCCAAGGAAAACUUGACUGACAAAUGUACGAGAAAUACUUCUGUGGUUUUGGUAAACAAAAGGCGGGCUUGACGUGAGAUAAAUGUUUAAAAACAUUCCGUGCAGACAAGCAAAAAACUUGUCAAGGCCAAGGUAAACUUGUCAAGGCCAAGGUAAACUUGUCAAGGAAACUUGUUGACACGAGAAGGUAAACGUGUCAAUGAAAACGUGUUCGUAUGUACUGGGCUUGAUAUUGUCAUUGACUAGUUCGUGAAGCAUCAAUCGACUGUUUAUAGCAAUUGCCCUAAGGGGGUAUUUUUACGUUUGUGGAUCAUAGAUAUCUUGUAUACACGACUAAAAACGCACAGGUUGUUCCAAGUUGAUAUCGACAGGCGUGGACAAUGUUGUGCGGCCAACUAUGAACAAGUUGUCAACCAUGUUGUUCCAAGUUGUUACAGUUGAACAAUGCUGCAGCAACAUGUUGACAAUAGACCCAUUGCACAUGACGUCACAGCGCCGGCGACGAUGCAUCUGGAGGACAAAUUAGCAAUCUAUGCAUAAUAUAACUUUAUGAACAAAGCAAAUUUUGUAAAACUUUAUAAUAAUUUUGUAUUAAAAUGGUUAGUUUUUGCGCUGUAUGUGGUUGUUGUACCCGAACAGAUAUUGUUAGGGAGCAUCUGGAGGACACUCUAAGGAUUUGUGACGUCAGUGCAAAUGGUCUAUACUCUUCAUAGUGGGCCGCACAACCUUGUUCACGCCUGUUGAUAUCAACCUGGAACAAGUUGUUGAUUUUCUCAAUUUUUACGCGUGUACAUGCACCAGAUAGUGCAUCUAAUUAUUCUGCAAUUCAAAAAUUGAAGCCGUUAUUGCAGACUCAGGAUAUUCCCAUGAAAUGAGAAGACUCGUAUGUUUUCUAUUUCUUAACCCGGGAACUUAAAAACAUUAAGUUAAACCUAUUCUAAAUACAUUUUCAAACUAUUCAAAUGAUGAAAGUUAUUAUUGUUUUUUAAGCGUUUAUUAGCGAGUGGGAAACUCCAACGUGGCCGCCAUCUAUUCAAAUGGGGGUAACCGCUGGAAUAUUCUUGGCUUCAAUUUUACUAAAAGAGAUGCGCUAUCUAGUGUAUAUAAGAUAUCUAUGAGGUGGGCACCUCACCUGAGAUCGUUCUGCACAUCACCUGAGAUUUUUUGCACCUGCCUUGAAAAGUCAUGCAUCUCCCCGUGGGAAAGGUUAAAUGAAAGUGUGACAAUUUUUUUAUGUGUUGCUUAGAGUCUAGACUUUGUAAAAACUUAGUCGAUGAUAGCCACUCAUCUCUGUCCAUGCCAGUACCCUUUUAAGGGACCGGUCAUAAAGUAACUGCUAGGGUGGGCUGGAGUGAUUUGGGAUGGGCCAUGGAAAAUCUUUGGGCAGUUUCGAUGGGCCGCCAAUUUUUUUGUGUGUCCACGGUUGGGCCACCAAACAAAAACCCAUGCAUGUCUACUUAAAAAAAUAAAGAUAUUAAUAAUAAAAGUAAACAAAACUAUCCAAAUUAUCAAAUGCAAAUGAUGCUAUUGAAGCCAGUAUACUUUGUUUAUACAACAACAAGAAGUGGUCGAAUCACAGCAAAUACAACCAACUGGAGAGCAGCUCAGUAUCAAUGUGUUGGUCAAGCUUGGUGGAAUUAUGUGCGUCAAUACAGUGCUGUGUAUAUUUACAAUGUUCAUACCUGCAGGGGUUUUUUAUUAUAAAAGUGUAUUUUCCCAAUUUAGAUUGGGUGGGUUAUGAAAAUGUUUUUGUAAAAUUAGAUGGGCUUUGAAAUUUUUAUCUACAUCCUAAGAUGGGUCACCGAACUUAUUGGCAAAAUUUGUGAUUUACCUCCAGCCCACCCUAGCAGUUACUUUAUGACCAGUCCCUAAUCUCGCUUUUAAUACAAUGUUUCAAAAGAAACGUAGGAAAUGUAAUGAAGGGCGAAAUUGGAUGAGUCGCACACACUGAUACAUAUGCAUACCUCAC